GAUGAACGCUGGCGGCAGCCCUUAUACAUGCAAGUCGAACGAGAAAGGUUCCUUCGGGAGCGAGUAAAGUGGCGGACGGGUGAGUAACGCGUAGGAAUCUACCUUUCAGUGGGGGAUAGCUCGGGGAAACUCGAAUUAAUACCGCAUACUACCCUUCGGGGGAAAGGGGCCUCUCCUUGGAAGCUCUCGCUGUUAGAUGAGCCUGCGUGAGAUUAGCUUGUUGGUAAGGUAAUGGCUUACCAAGGCUACGAUCUCUAGCUGGUCUGAGAGGACGAUCAGCCACACUGGGACUGAGACACGGCCCAGACUCCUACGGGAGGCAGCAGUAGGGAAUA
rnacentral:rRNA from 1 species